rnacentral:rRNA from 1 species
UACAGAGGGGCAAGCGUUAUUCGGAAUUAUUGGGCGUAAAGGGCGCGUAGGCGGCUAUCCAAGUGGCGGGUGAAAUCCCUCGGCUUAACCGAGGAACUGCCUGCCAGACUGGAUGGCUCGAGACCGGGAGAGGUGAGUGGAAUUCCCAGUGUAGCGGUGAAAUGCGUAGAUAUUGGGAGGAACACCAGUGGCGAAGGCGGCUCACUGGACCGGUACUGACGCUGAGGCGCGAAAGCGUGGGGAGCGAACAGG